AAGUUUUCGCUACUCUAUGUUUGAGAACCUAAAACCAUAUAAUUAACUAUCAAAAAACCCGUCUCAUACAUACCACAUGCAGUUCCUAGAGUUUGAUGCAGCAGUUUACUGGUCUGUAGGUCCUGCAUGGAAGUAUGAAUCUAUGGCCAGCAAUGGCCAAAGAAUAUUCUCAGACUGAAAACCAUUUUUUACCUUACUGACAGAAAGCUGAAACCUCGAUGAACCAGUGUAAGUAUUGACAAUUGUGACAGGCUCUGAUUUAAAUUGGUUGUGGCUAUACUAUAUGCAAAGUAUAGCAAGGGGUUUGCAAGGUAGAAGUGAAUUCUAAUCGAACCAGUGAUUUACCAGAAAUAAUCGAAGGGAUAUUGUUGAUUUCCCUAGCUAUAUUCUGAUACAUCACUGACCGUUCAGAGUUCACCACCAUUUCUGUAUUGCAAUUUAGCAAAACAAUCUGUUUUCUGAUAUCUGUAGUGUAGUGAAGUUUGGAGUGAAGAUGGCCCUUUUUUUAUAUUGAAGCUCGUUGAAUCUUGACCAUUGAUUUAUGAUUAUUACACUUAAUCAUAUCCGUUAAAAAAUGGGAAACUUAAUUAAUGCUAACAUUUAUAAAAAUUCCUUAUAUGGCAUUAUGCAUAUCCACCACCUACCACUUUAGAUUAUCAUUUAGUGUUAGUGAAAUAUAAGUUGCUGUUUAUCUUUACUAAUACAAAAAAAUAUAACCGCGUUCGGUGCAUGAGUUAAUCGUAGACAAUAAAAUUAUGGAAUUAUAUUAGAUUUUUUAGAAAAUACAACUUGAACUACAUGCAGGGAGGCUCCAGUGGUAUCAUACUUGCAAGUGGAUUGCCUAUAUGCCUUAGGUAAAGCAGUCGGGCUCUCAGCAAAUUCAGAAGGAUAAAACUCCGCCACUGGAAGAAUACAUUACAUUGUUAGGGGUUCAAUUGUCUUAUUGACAAAAGAGGGAUUUGGAGGUUGGCCACGUCUUCUCUUUUGCAUGCUAAUAUUGGAAGCCUUAUGGUCAAUUGUUAUUCUUUGAAUUCUGUUGGACCUACUAUGGAGAAUCUAAGCGGUCCAAGGAGAUCCCUUGCAGUUUACUUCACCUCUGCUCUUUCAAGUAACAACUCUUAAACUCAUUACAGUACCUUAUAAAUUGCUUGUUGUGCAAAGCACCUGCUGUUGGUGCAUUAGGUGCAAUCUUUGGAUUGGUAAGUCGUCUCGAACAUAUUCGCAAAAUAAGAUUAAUGUUCAUAAGAACCUGUUCCUUCUAAUGAUUGUGGGCUUUUAAUAUCUAGGUCUUCUUUCUUUCCUUUUUUUUUUUGUUUUUUUGCUUGGGAAAUCAAUUGUUUGCUUUUAUCGCCGGUAUUGUCUCAUUUUACAAUCUCUUGGCUGUCUAAGUUGGUUUUGUUGCUGUGUUUGUCUUGAGACAGAGGUAUGAUCAGAGAUGCCCAAGAAGAUCUGCAGCACAUGGCACAAGUUACUUCCCAAACACGCUAUGUGGCUUCUUGGAGGAGCAGCAGUGUCCUGGCUUAUAGGACCUGCAUGGAAUGAUUUUGACUCAGCCAAAGAAAACUAGGUGCCGCUACAAGUUACCAGUUCUUCAAAGCACCCGCAUUUGGUACAGGCGCAAUAAUUGGAUGAGACUUUGGUGUGGAAUAGCUUGCUCUGAGACAUACAAUAGAACCGGUCAACAGUAAGAGUUCAUAACCUAAAAUCUACAUUGACAACUCAAUUUCAAUGCUUAAUUAUGGAAUUAAUUUUCCCAUGUUUUGGAGAAUGAUUUACAGUAUGAAUUCAUUUUCACCAAACAAACAUGGGAAAACAAUGAAAAUGUUUUUCUUAAAACUUUUUACAAGUAAACAAACAGAUUUUUAAUUUCUAUUUAAAUUGUCUAUUUUUAUAAGGACUAGUCUCAUGCAACACAGCUUAACUGAAAUUCUAUAGGUUGGCAUGGUGACAGCUUAGAAUUGCUUAUGCUUAUCUCAAGUUGUUCACUGUUCCAAGUCACAAACCAAAAAAUAACUCAUCAAAAUACAUUUGAACCAAACUUACCCACAAAACCUUAAAGUUCUCGAACUCUCUUCCGGAAAAAAUUGAACUUGAAAUCUUAAAAUUUCGAAUUUCGAAUUCUCUUCCUUGACAUUAAACCAAAGAACCAAUGCCUCAUUGGCAAAUGAUUUAAAAGUGUAGGUAAACUGAAUUCUAUUUUUUUCUUCAAACUCUCAAUUAAUUCAUAGGAUUAACUCGUGCAUCAAACUCGGUUAAUCCUUUUGUAUUAGUAGAGGUGACGGCAACUUCUGUUUUACCAACACUAAAGGAUAAUCCAAGGUUAAUGAUGGAUGGUGGAUAUGCAUACUGCCAUAGAAGGAUAUUUUAUAAAUGUUAGCAUUAAUUAGGUUUCCUUUUCUUUUCAACGGAUAUGAUGAAGUGUAAGAAACAUAAAUGAACGGUCAAGAUUCAACUAGCUUCAUUAUAAAAAAAAGGGCCAUCUUCACUCCAAACAUCACUACACUACAUAUAUCAGAAAAUAGAUUGUUUUGGUAAAAUGCAAUACAAAAAUGGUGGUGAACUCCAAACGGCCAGUGAUUUAUCAGAAAAUAGGUAGGGAAAUCACCAUUUCCCCUUCGAUUAUUUUCUGGUAAACCAUUGAUUCGAUUAGAACUCACUUCUACCUUGUAAAGCCCCCUACUAUACUUUGCAUAUGGUAUAGUAUGUCUAGAAUCAAUUUAAAUCAGAGCUUGUGUCACAAUUUUCAGUACUUACACUGGUUCAUCGAGGUUUCCGUUUUCUGUCAGUAAGGUAAAGAAGUGGUGGUCGGUCUGAGAAUAUUCUUGGGCCAUCACUGGCCAUAGAUUCCGACUUCCAUGCAGGUCCUAUAAGCCAAGACACUGCCGCUCCUCCAAGCAAGCCUCCUAGCUGAAAUUGCAAGUUAAGAUUUUAAGCAAUCUCAGUAGUAAAACUUUAAAUACAGGUAUACUACAAGUACACGUGUAAGAAGGACGGUAGUUAAGACUUACAUGACCCCAAUCAUCAAUGCCACUUGACAUUAGUCCAAUAACCUGCAUGAUCCGCAUUCAUUUCCACUGAGCUCGGAGAAAAGUAAGAGCAAAAGCGUUUGAUAGGCUGUUUAGGGUUCUCAUAGGUUGAGUAGCAAAAGCUUUGAAUCAUACCAUGUUUAGGAAAUAACUUGUGCUAUGUGUUGCAGAUCUUCUUUGGCAUCUCUGAUCAUACCUCUAUGUCUCAUGACAAACACAGCAACAGAACCAACCUAGACAACCAAAAGAUUUACAAAAUGAGAAAAUUGAGGUUCUGGAAUAAAUAAAUAAAAGCCAAGUAUUUCAAGGCAGACAAAUAUUAGAUGGAACAGCUUCGUACGAACAUUUAUCUUAUUCUGUGAAUAAGUUUGCAAGGACUUACCA